rnacentral:snRNA from 1 species
GAAAGUGAUGAUAUGAAA